GACAGAGGGUGCAAACGUUGUUCGGAAUUACUGGGCAUAAAGGGCACGUAGGUGGUGCGCUAAGUCACGUGUGAAAUCCCCCGGCUCAACCGGGGAAUUGCGCGUGAUACUGGCGGACUUGAGGCGGGUAGGGGUGAGCGGAACUCCAGGUGGAGCGGUGAAAUGCGUAGAUAUCUGGAGGAACACGGGUGGCGAAAGCGGCAUCCUGGACCGAAACUGACGCUGAGGAGCGAAAGCCAGGGGAGCAAACGGG
rnacentral:rRNA from 1 species